rnacentral:rRNA from 1 species
ACACUCCUACGGGAGGCAGCAGUGGGGAAUAUUGCACAAUGGGCGCAAGCCUGAUGCAGCCAUGCCGCGUGUAUGAAGAAGGCCUUCGGGUUGUAAAGUACUUUCAGCGGGGAGGAAGGCGAUAAGGUUAAUAACCUUGUCGAUUGACGUUACCCGCAGAAGAAGCACCGGCUAACUCCGUGCCAGCAGCCGCGGUAAUACGGAGGGUGCAAGCGUUAAUCGGAAUUACUGGGCGUAAAGCGCACGCAGGCGGUCUGUCAAGUCGGAUGUGAAAUCCCCGGGCUCAACCUGGGAACUGCAUUCGAAACUGGCAGGCUAGAGUCUUGUAGAGGGGGGUAGAAUUCCAGGUGUAGCGGUGAAAUGCGUAGAGAUCUGGAGGAAUACCGGUGGCGAAGGCGGCCCCCUGGACAAAGACUGACGCUCAGGUGCGAAAGCGUGGGGAGCAAACAGGAUUAGAAACCCGAGUAGUCCCA